AUAAUAAUAAUAAUAAUAAUAUAAAGCAAAACAUGCAAAUCAGAAAAAAAAUUAAAGCUGAAGGCCAUGACUCAGCAGAGAUUCUAAACAGAAAAUUAAUGUAUCAACAAGUCCCCAAUACAGCAGAACUUGUGGGGACUUGGACUCCUUAGAUAAGCUUUUAAUUAGCAAAGAAUAUAUGUUUCAUAUAAUACACAGAAAACAUUAAAAAUAUUACUAGAAAGAACAAAGAAAUGCUAGUACAAUACUUUGAAGACCUGCCACUUCGAUUUGGGUAAAUCUUCUUGUUUACAAUAUAAUGCUUCAGCAUAUUUAAUGGGAGAAAAGGUCCCUCUAACUUGAACUGACCAAAACUUUAUAGUACAACAUGUAUGUUAAUUAUGGAAAGAAUCACACGUUUUUCAAGUUCCAUAAAACAACAGAAACUUAAGCUUACAAUGGAAAGCAUGAAACAAAUAAAUUCAAUAUUAAUGUAAUUACUAGAAUUAGAAGUUGCCAAUAACAAAUGCAAUUAUUAGAAUACAACGAGGUUUAAUAAGAGUUUAGAGCCAUAGAUGUCAAAGAUGAAGUUAUCUGUUGCAUCAUGACCACAUUACAGUUGAUUCCAGAAAGAGCAGGAUUUCCACACACAA
rnacentral:misc_RNA from 1 species